CAGAAAGUAAACGCGGGUCAAACCGCGAAACUUUUAAACCUUUGGCGAUCGACUCGUGUUGCCUCGGCGGGCUCGCCCGCCAGAGGAUACAUCAAAACUCCUGUUUUAACGGUGUUGUCUGAGCUACAAAGCAACGAAUCA
rnacentral:misc_RNA from 1 species